rnacentral:rRNA from 1 species
GACGAACGCUGGCGGCGUGCCUAAUACAUGCAAGUCGAACGCAGGGGGGACGGGUGAGUAACACGUGGGUAACCUCCCAUCAGAGGGGAUAACACUUGGAAACAGGUGCUAAACCGAUACAGAUGGAUGGACCCGGUGGGGAUUAGCUAGGUGGUGGGGUAACGGCUCACCAAGGCCACGAUGCAUAGCCGGCCUGAGAGGAGGAUCGGCCACACUGGAACUGAGACACGGCCCAGACUCCUACGGGAGGCAGCAGUGGGGAAUAUUCGGCAAUGGGCGAAAGUCUGACCGAGCAACGCCGCGUGAGUGAAGAAGGUUUUCGGAUCGUAAAUCUCUGUUGUUAGGGAGGCGGUAUCUACCGAAAAAGCCACGGCUAACUACGUGCCAGCAGCCGCGGUAAUUC